AACCUAGAAAGAGUAGCAGUCUCCUCUUUGAUUACACCGCACCUCAUGUGAAACUCCUCAAAUCGUGUAAUGUAAUCGGCAAUGGUUGAAGUUCCUUAAGUUAGUUUCUGCCACCUAUCCAUAAGGCGUUGUCGGUAAGAGAAUGACAGAUACUUCUCAUUCAGUUUUUCUUUCAUAUCCUCCCAGGUGGUGAUACGAGGAAGCC
rnacentral:lncRNA from 1 species